AGAGUUUGAUCCUGGCUCAGAACGAACGCUGGCGGCGUGGAUAAGACAUGCAAGUCGAACGGAGAAUCUUUGGAGCUUGCUUUGGAGAUUCUUAGUGGCGAACGGGUGAGUAACACGUGAGUAACCUGCCCUGAAGCGGGGGAUAGCCUUCCGAAAGGAAGAUUAAUACCCCAUGUGAUAGUAAUAUUAAAGGCGGUCAUUUAUUUGGCUGUCACUUCAGGAUGGGCUCGCGGCCUAUCAGCUAGUUGGUGAGGUAAAGGCUCACCAAGGCGAUGACGGGUAGCUGGUCUGAGAGGACGAUCAGUCACACUAGAACUGAGACACGGUCCAGACACCUACGGGUGGCAGCAGUCGAGAAUCAUUCGCAAUGGACGAAAGUCUGACGGUGCGACGCCGCGUGGAGGACGAAGGCCCUAGGGUCGUAAACUCCUGUCAUCAGGGAGUAAAUGCUUAGUUAGUAACUGAUCUAAGUCUUGAUAGUACCUGAAGAGGAAGGGACGGCAAACUUCGUGCCAGCAGCCGCGGUAAUAAGGGCGAAUUC
rnacentral:rRNA from 1 species